CUUACAUCCUAUCUCAUCAGGAGGCUCUUUCUAAUGGAUGGUGCCAGGAAGUCUCUGGCCGAUGCUCACGGGGCAGGACUGGGUCCCACGCCUGUCCCCAGAAACAACCUCUGAGCCUUGGCUCCCGGACAACCAUCUCCCACUGGCACCUGGAAACACCAUUUGGCACGGACUCCCAAGAAACAACAGCAGCAGCAUCUCCCUUAUACGAGGGUGAAAAUUAAGUGGAAUGAUGAAAGAAAGGCACUCAACCCAAAUCCUAGCACAUGGCUGGCAGCUCAGACUUGCAGAAUCUCCAGCACAGGGGAAGAUAUCUGGGAAAGAAGAGGGCUCUAAAGAAUGAUGACAAAGAUGGUGAUGGUGAUGAUGACAAUGGUGAUGAAUAUGACGAUGACGGCGGUGAGGAUGAUGAUGAUGUUGGGAUGAAGGAAGGGGAUGACAACGGUAUUGAUGAUGAUGAUGAGGGAAUGAAGGAGGUGAUGAUGUCGGUUACAAUGACGGAGGUGAUGGAGAUGUUGUUGGG